rnacentral:tRNA from 1 species
UGCUUCAAAGUCAAAAUAGAGACGUAAGUCUUGUAAACUUAAAAUUGAAUAUUACCUUCUGAAGCAA